rnacentral:lncRNA from 1 species
CAUCUGAGGAGGAACAAACACACUUGGAAUAUGCUUCUAUUCCUAAGAAGUUGGCUGCAUAGGAGCACAACAUCACCAGCUUACCACGUAUUGGUCAUUCUCUUUGAGGAGCAGGGCCAUACUGACGGCUUACAUGUGCGCUCUGGUGGAAGUAGGAUGUUUGGUGGCAGCAGGAGCAAAAUCAACUCUGUGACAGCAAAGCUGGAGAGAGAGAGGAGCAUUGAGGUUUUGAGACAUGUAUAACCAGUGAAACCAUCAUUACAAUCCAGAUUGAGAAAUUUGCC